rnacentral:rRNA from 1 species
CCUACGGGCGACAGCAGUGAGGAAUAUUGGUCAAUGGGCGCUAGCCUAAACCAGCCAAGCAGCGUGAAGGAUGACUGCCCUAUGAGUUGUAAACUUCUUUUAUACAGGAAUAAAGUUCAGUAUGUAUAUUGCUUUGCAUGUACCUUAUGAAUAAGGAUCGGCUAACUCCGUGCCAGCAGCCGCGGUAAUACGGAGGAUCCGAGCGUUAUCCGGAUUUAUUGGGUUUAAAGGGAGCGUAGGCGGGUUGUUAAGUCAGUUGUGAAAGUUUGCGGCUCAACCGUAAAAUUGCCGUUGAUACUGGCGUCCUUGAGAGCAGUAGAGGUAGGCGGAAUGCGUGGUGUAGCGGUGAAAUGCUUAGAUAUCACGAAGAACACCGAUUGCGAAGGCAGCCUGCUGGACUGUAACUGACGCUGAUGCUCGAAAGUGUGGGUAUCAAACAGGAUUAGAUACCCUUGUAGUC